GUGCUUGUUUUAGCUGACAUAUACUAAAAUUGGAACAAUACAGAAAGGAUUAGCAUGGCCCCUGCACAAGGAUGACACGCAAAUUUGUGAAGCACUCCGUAUUUUU
ensembl:snRNA U6 U6 spliceosomal RNA